rnacentral:rRNA from 1 species
GACGAACGCUGGCGGCGUGCUUAACACAUGCAAGUCGAACGGAAAGGCCCUGCUCUUGUGGGGUGCUCGAGUGGCGAACGGGUGAGUAACACGUGAGUAACCUGCCCUUGACUUUGGGAUAACUUCAGGAAACUGGGGCUAAUACCGGAUAGGAGCUCCUGCUGCAUGGUGGGGGUUGGAAAGUUUCGGCGGUUGGGGAUGGACUCGCGGCUUAUCAGCUUGUUGGUGGGGUAGUGGCUUACCAAGGCUUUGACGGGUCGCCGGCCUGGGAGGGUGACCGGGCACAUUGGGACUGAGAUACGGACCAGACUGCUACGGGAGACAGCAGUGGGGAAUAUUGCACAAUGGGCGGAAGCCUGAUGCAGCAACGCCGCGUGCGGGAUGACGGCCUUCGGGUUGUAAACCGCUUUCGCCUGUGACGAAGCGUGAGUGACGGUAAUGGGUAAAGAAGCACCGGCUAACUACGUG